rnacentral:rRNA from 1 species
GACGAACGCUGGCGGCGUGCUUAACACAUGCAAGUCGAACGGUAAGGCCCUUCGGGGUACACGAGUGGCGAACGGGUGAGUAACACGUGGGUGAUCUGCCCUGCACUUCGGGAUAAGCCUGGGAAACUGGGUCUAAUACCGGAUAGGACCACUGCCUGCAUGGGGGGUGGUGGAAAGCUUUUGCGGUGUGGGAUGGGCCCGCGGCCUGUCAGCUUGUUGGUGGGGUGAUGGCCUACCAAGGCGACGACGGGUAGCCGGCCUGAGAGGGUGACCGGCCACACUGGGACUGAGAUACGGCCCAGACUCCUACGGGAGGCAGCAGUGGGGAAUAUUGCACAAUGGGCGCAAGCCUGAUGCAGCGACGCCGCGUGAGGGAUGACGGCCUUCGGGUUGUAAACCUCUUUCAGCACCGACGAAGCGCAAGUGACGGUAGGUGCAGAAGAAGGACCGGCCAACUACGUGCCAGCAGCCGCCGUAA